GGCUCAGAUUGAACGCUGGCGGCAUGCCUUACACAUGCAAGUCGAACGGCAGCACGGGUGCUUGCACCUGGUGGCGAGUGGCGAACGGGUGAGUAAUACAUCGGAACGUACCUUAUCGUGGGGGAUAACGCAGCGAAAGCUGUGCUAAUACCGCAUACGCCCUGAGGGGGAAANCGGGGGAUCGAAAGACCUCGCGCGAUUAGAGCGGCCGAUGCCUGAUUAGCUUGUUGGUGGGGUAAAAGCCCACCAAGGCGACGAUCAGUAGCUGGUCUGAGAGGACGAUCAGCCACACUGGGACUGAGACACGGCCCAGACUCCUACGGGAGGCAGCAGUGGGGAAUUUUGGACAAUGGGGGAAACCCUGAUCCAGCAAUGCCGCGUGAGUGAAGAAGGCCUUCGGGUUGUAAAGCUCUUUUGUCAGGGAAGAAACACCGGCUCUAACACAGUCCGGGAAUGACGGUACCUGAAGAAUAAGCACCGGCUAACUACGUG
rnacentral:rRNA from 1 species